CACCCGUAAUCGAUGAUGCUACGUGUUAGGGGGUGUCUGCCCUCUAGUGCUGCAGCUAAUGCCUCAAGCACUCUGCCUGGGGAGUACGGUCGCAAGACUGAAACUCAAAGGAAUUGACGGGGGCCCGCACAAGCGGUGGAGCAUGUGGUUUAAUUAGAAGCAACGCGAAGAACCUUACCAGGUCUUGACAUCCCGUUGACCACUGUAGAGAUAUGGUUUCCCCUUCGGGGGCAACGGUGACAGGUGGUGCAUGGUUGUCGUCAGCUCGUGUCGUGAGAUGUUGGGUUAAGUCCCGCAACGAGCGCAACCCUUGAUUUUAGUUGCCAUCAUUUAGUUGGGCACUUUAAGGUGACUGCCGGUGACAAACCGGAGGAAGGUGGGGAUGACGUCAAAUCAUCAUGCCCCUUAUGACCUGGGCUACACACGUGCUACAAUGGACGAUACAAACGGUUGCCAACUCGCGAGAGGGAGCUAAUCCGAUAAAGUCGUUCUCAGUUCGGAUUGUAGGCUGCAACUCGCCUACAUGAAGCCGGAGUCGCUAGUAAUCGCGGAUCAGCAUGCCGCGGUGAAUACGUUCCCGGGCCUUGUACACACCGCCCGUCACACCAUGAGAAGUUUGUAACACCCGAAGUCGGUGAGGAAACCGUAAGGAGCCAGCCG
rnacentral:rRNA from 1 species